rnacentral:rRNA from 1 species
CCUACGGGGGGUAGCAGUGGGGAAUAUUGGACAAUGGGCGAAAGCCUGAUCCAGCCAUGCCGCGUGUGUGAAGAAGGCCUUCGGGUUGUAAAGCACUUUCAGUGGGGAAGAAAGCCUUGGGGCUAAUACCCUCGAGGAAGGACAUCACCCACAGAAGAAGCACCGGCUAACUCCGUGCCAGCAGCCGCGGUAAUACGGAGGGUGCGAGCGUUAAUCGGAAUUACUGGGCGUAAAGCGCGCGUAGGCGGUCUGAUAAGCCGGUUGUGAAAGCCCCGGGCUCAACCUGGGAACGGCAUCCGGAACUGUCAGGCUAGAGUGCAGGAGAGGAAGGUAGAAUUCCCGGUGUAGCGGUGAAAUGCGUAGAGAUCGGGAGGAAUACCAGUGGCGAAGGCGGCCUUCUGGACUGACACUGACGCUGAGGUGCGAAAGCGUGGGUAGCAAACAGGAUUAGAUACCCUUGUAGUC